rnacentral:rRNA from 2 species
GGAGAGCUAGAUGAACUGAUUAAUCAGAUCUUUUGGCUUGAACUUGGUCAAACCUUAUCACUUAGAGGAAGGAGAAGUCGUAACAAGGUUUCCGUAGGUGAACCUGCGGAAGGAUCAUUC